GGGUCGAUGAUGAGACCUCAUACUGUGUCAGAGAGAGAGAUGAUGACUUAAAAAUCAUGCUCAAUAAGAUUACACUGAGGCCC